CGCAACUUUGACGCUGUGCAUAAAUACUGGAACAAAAGAAGAACUUCCUCGAUACCUUGUGAAACGGCAGUAAAUAAGCUGAAACUGUUAUGCGAACUGAAAUUAACCUGUAAACGUGCUGGAGAAGGUACUUAUUAGAAAACCCCCCCUAGAGUCAAUUGAUGUCUUCAUACACAUCCUCAAAUUUUCCCCCAGCGCUUUGGAAUUUGCCUGGUUGUGACAUCAGAAACUCAAAAACAAUUUAAGAUGGAGUCCUGGAAUGCCUCAAGCCCUGCUGAGAGAAAGAGAGAGAGAGGGAGGAGAGGAGUCACUCGCUCUGUGAUUCUGGCAGUGCUUGGUCAUGUUGCCGAGGGUGUGAGUGUGUGAUUGAGAGAGAGGGACCCUCUCUAGGUGAUGGUGUAGCAGCACAGAAUGGUUUGUGGUGAUACAGAGAUGCAGGCCGUGAUGUGCUGCAGCAUCAAUUCCUGGGAACCUACGCAGUCGAGAGAGAGAGAGAGAGACACGAGAAAGAUAGUGUGUGUGUGUUUGAACGUGUGUGUUGUCUUGCUUUAGCAGCAUGUAAAUAUUGGAGUUACUCCUUGGCCAAUGCCUCCAAUAUUGCUCGUGCUGCUGAAGCAAGAAGUCACCAAGCAGCACAUGCACGUCAUCUUUUCAUCACAGCUACCGAGGCCUAGCCAGUGCAGGUAGUGGCUGACUCACUGGUACUGAAAUACCUUCAUGGACUGAAUCAUCAAACCAACAUAGAGAAAUCAGGAGGACCCUCGGUCUCACCGGAACAAACUGAAUGGUCAAAGGUAAAGAUAGAUGCAGUGUUUCGUUUUGUUUGAGAAGUUUAGUAGCUUUUUUUUUUUUUUAAAUGAAUGUUUUUAUUCUUCUUUAUGUUUAUACUGUUUGUAUUCAAUAUUUAAAAUUAUAAUUCUACCCUUGUAUCUUUUUUUUACGUUUCUUUUUUUUUUAAAUGAAAUAUUCCAAAUGCUGUUGCAUUUUGUGUUCAUGCAAAUGAAUAAUAAAACUGAAAAAAUUAAGGAAAAAACUCGUCUGACCUGUCGCAUACUCAUUUGAACCUCGUUAGCGCACCUUUUGUCGAUGUAUCUGUUGUUCAGUUUUUUCCCCACAGGGAACGCAACUUUGGUCAAAAGGUCUCGUCUUUGUGGUCGGUUUUCUUCUUUAGUGUGUUUGAGUAGAGUUGUAGAAAUGUUUUAUUAUCCUAUAUUUUGAACCCGUAUAUGUGAAGUGCAUUCAUGUAAGUUUUCUAAUUUCCGGCGAGUACACUUAAGACCACAAAACCGACUCCAAAGACUUUUUCCGACAAUAAGAAACUUGCAAGUUUUUAGCCAUUUAUAUGUGGAUUAUUCUGCUGGUUAAAAUGGACGGCAUAUUAAUAUUAGAGUCUCCAUCUUCGCACAGGAGAGGUUACCGAACGGCGCAUGCGUAUCAUAUCAUUCUUAUAUAACCUCAGUAUUAAAAAGCUUAACACCCAGCGAAGUUCUGAUGUGGGCAAGUUAUUUUUCAGUUUUCCCGGUAGUUGUAAAUGACAUGUACUGUUAACAUGAAGUGACACAUGUCACUUAUGUAACCUUAUAUUAAAUGAUAUAGCCUACAAUUUUAUGUGAAAUUUCUCACAAAGUUCUGUCGGCCUAAAAAAUAGGAAAGAAAACGGCAGUAUAACGCAAUGCAGAUCCUAAAUUUCCGCCAUUUAAUGAGAAAUCAAAAAGACGCAUUUAUGAGCAGGCUAAAUCAUCUUAACACGUAUAGCCACGAUUUGGACUCGUUUUUGUGUUCUGAGAAAUUAUAAUUAUUUUAUUCACUUAAUUUUUUGUAUGGUUUUACCCGGGUCAGAUAAUUUGAGGAUGGACUCAUUUACACGCAGAAAUGCGUGUGUGCUUUUUCCAUGUCUGGAUGCUGCGUUUGCCUCUGAUUUUAUCACAUCUUGUAUCCUUGGAAGUAAAGAAAUUAGUUUUUAUUUUUUUUUGUUUAAUUGACCAGCACUUAAAACCGUUGUUGCCUUUAACUCGUAACACGAUCACUUCAGACACACGUCGAUUUAAUCUUCUGACGCUUCGUUUUAGUCAUGUGAUGCUUUUAGACAUGAUCUGAAGAUGGUCAGCGCAGCUGA